UGAGUGUCUAGGAAAGAGUUCCAGUGUGUC
rnacentral:piRNA from 1 species